rnacentral:piRNA from 1 species
AGGGAAUAGAAAAGGACAGUCUG